UACAGAGGUCCCAAGCGUUGUUCGGAUUCACUGGGCGUAAAGGGUGCGUAGGUGGCGGGGUAAGUCUGAUAUUAAAGACUGGGGCUUAACUCCAGGAGUGUAUCGGAAACUGCCAAACUAGAGGACAAUAGAGGAAGUCGGAAUUCUCAGUGUAGCGGUGAAAUGCGUAGAUAUUGGGAAGAACACCAGUGGCGAAAGCGGACUUCUGGGUUGUUACUGACGCUGAGGUACGAAAGCGUGGGGAGCAAACGGG
rnacentral:rRNA from 1 species